AAAAUCCGGGAAUCUCUAUGCCGAGCACCGAGACGAGUCCUAUGAGGACGAAGUGACUGACACCACGCUUCCAGGAAAAGCCACUAAGCUUCAGCUGUAGAAAAACCGUACCGCAAACCGACACAGGUAGGCAGGGUGAGAAUCCCAAGGCGCUUGAGAGAACUCGGGUGAAGGAACUAGGCAAAAUGGCACCGUAACUUCGGGAGAAGGUGCGCCUCUUGGUGUGGUCACGUGCGUGACUGAGCAUCGAGGGGUCGCAGUAACCUGGCCGCUGCGACUGUUUAUCAAAAACACAGCACUCUGCAAACACGAAAGUGGACGUAUAGGGUGUGACGCCUGCCCGGUGCUGGAAGGUUAAUUGAUGGGGUCAGCCGCAAGGCGAAGCUCUUGAUCGAAGCCCCAGUAAACGGCGGCCGUAACUAUAACGGUCCUAAGGUAGCGAAAUUCCUUGUCGGGUAAGUUCCGACCUGCACGAAUGGCGUAACGACAGCGGCGCUGUCUCCACCCGAGACUCAGUGAAAUUGAAAUCGCUGUGAAGAUGCAGCGUUCCCGCGGCAAGACGGAAAGACCCCGUGAACCUUUACUAUAGCUUUACACUGAACGUUGAGUUCUUCUGUGUAGGAUAGGUGGGAGGCUAUGAAACCAGGACGCUAGUUCUGGUGGAGCCAUCCUUGAAAUACCACCCUGAAGUGCUUGACGUUCUAACCUAGGUCCGUAAUCCGGAUCGAGGACCGUGUAUGGUGGGUAGUUUGACUGGGGCGGUCUCCUCCCAAAGAGUAACGGAGGAGCACGAAGGUACGCUCAGCGCGGUCGGACAUCGCGCACUGUGUGCAAAGGCAUAAGCGUGCUUGACUGCGAGAUCGACGGAUCAAGCAGGUACGAGAGUAGGUCUUAGUGAUCCGGUGGUUCUGUAUGGAAGGGCCAUCGCUCAACGGAUAAAAGGUACUCCGGGGAUAACAGGCUGAUACCGCCCAAGAGUUCAUAUCGACGGCGGUGUUUGGCACCUCGAUGUCGGCUCAUCACAUCCUGGGGCUGUAGCCGGUCCCAAGGGUAUGGCUGUUCGCCAUUUAAAGUGGUACGCGAGCUGGGUUCAGAACGUCGUGAGACAGUUCGGUCCCUAUCUGUCGUGGGCGUUGGAGAUUUGAGGGGGGCUGCUCCUAGUACGAGAGGACCGGAGUGGACGUUCCGCUGGUGUUCGGGUUGUCAUGCCCAUGGCAUUGCCCGGUAGCUACGAACGGAAGUGAUAACCGCUGAAAGCAUCUAAGCGGGAAGCACGCCCCAAGAUGAGAUCUCCCGAGAGCUUGACUCUACUAAAGGCACCAUCAAGACUAGGUGGUUGAUAGGCACGGUGUGGAAGUGCAGCAAUGCAUUGAGCUUACGUGUACUAAUGAGCCGUGAGGCUUGACCG
rnacentral:rRNA from 1 species